GUCAACAUGCCUACUUGUGCUAUGUGAGUAUCUUGGUCAUUUUACAUUACAUUCUCUUAAUCUAUAAUAGAGAUUUAUCUCUAGCCUUCCUUGUGGAUUUCAAAUGACGAAAAAAAUCAGAAAUAUUCAGUUCCCAAAGUACGCAACCUAAUAGAAUUCCGUUUGAUUCCUAAAGAUCAGGUUUCCCAAAUUGCUUCUACUUGGUCUGCUGACUCACACUCCUGAGAGAACGCCAUCUGUUGUUUUUUCUUUUGGGUGAACGGUGGGCAAUAUCAAAUAUUACUUUUCUUCCCCUACAAUUUUCAAUCAGUUUACACUCUGUUUGUUGUUAGUUUCGCUCUGUUCUUCGGCUUUGUUGCUGCUACUCUUUUGAUCACUUCCAGGUGAGAUCAAUUUACCCUAUACUAAUUUUAUUAUCUUCGUGCUCUUCUCUUUCUAUGUGGUAGCUUCUGUGUUUCCGUUUUAGCCUCUGCUUGUAGGUGUUUGAGAAAAUUACUCAACGAAUUAGGCUUUUCUUUUAUAGUGGGGUGUACUGAUCAAAUUUGAGGCGAAGCAUUUAGACAUUCCUUAAAUUUUUGAACUAAAAAUUAGCAAGAAAUUACGUUGAACUACUAAAAAUUAAAAUCUUGGAGGAGAAAAAAUGAAGAUUAAAAAUAUGAAGAAAGACUAAAAUUGCAGCAGGAAAAUGAUAAAAUAAUUUGUAGGAGCCUUUGAUUAAGUGAUACAGUGCAUUUGGACUGAUGUUCCAGCUUACCUGUAGAGCAAACGGGUUUGCUUUUCAAAUUUUCAUAAUUAUUUAAAUUUUACUGCUCUAUAUUGGUCUAUUUCCAACUCUCUCUAAUUUGUUUUGCUUCUUCAAGUUUUCCCACAAUUUUAGUUGGUACAAAUCCUUCACAAGUCUCACUUACCUUAAAUCAUCCGAAGUUUUGUCCUCUCUUGAAUCUUCUUACUUUUUCUUUAAGUUAUUCCUAAAAAAGGUUUAAAGAAAGGAAUUUCAGAAGACAUUAUAUUAUAGUUGGUGAUAAUUUAGAAGUAUAUAAUAAAGAAAAGCGGAGCAAAAGUUUAGCACUAUAUAGCUGUUGAAACCUUUUUAACUACUUUAUAUUGGAGAAAUUCUUUUACAUGGUGAUUUCCACAAAAUUCAUCUUAAAUUAUUGAAUGAGUAAUUUUUAUAGUUCAGAUGAUCAUUGGCUUUUAGCUCUUAGAGGAGUGACAUUAACUUGAUGACUUUUAUGAAUAUUCGGACAAUGGAUUUUUAACGAAAAAUGUGAUUUGCCUAUUUUGCUUUAAUGACUGAUGCACACUGUUUGCAGGUUUCUGGAAUUAACGUCCGAUUACUCUGUCUAACUACUCCGACUUUAUAAGGUAAGAUAAUAGAAAGCAUCAGUUCCCCACCAAAUUAUUCAAUUUUGCCUUUCACUUGAUAUCUUUUUGGAGAAAGGGUGUAGUUUAUUUUUUAAUACUGCUUACAUUGGAUGAGUAUAGAUGUCGGAGGAUAAAAAAGAUGUGCAUAUAUCAUGUUCAGGACAAAAGAACAAAAGUCCAUGCUUGACAGAUAGAAGUGCUGAAAUGAAAUUCAAUCGUCGUAAAAAAUAUAAGGAAAUAUCAGCGGAUAGAAAGGAAGCAUUAUUGUUAAACCGCCGUAUGAAAGAGCUCGAUUCAAGAAAAUGUCUUCUAGAAAGUCGAACUCUGGAUAACUUAGUCAAAUUAAUAUCUCUAAGUAAUUCAACGCUUCAAAGGGAGAGUGCUCUCAUGAUAAGAGAUUUUUCUCUUACUUCAAAUCAAGGUUAGCAAAUUAAACUUUCGCUCUUUCUGUUAAAAUGCAGUCAGUUUAAACUAAAUAUGUUUCACGCGUCUUUAUUAGCUGCUAAAUGUGAAGUUAGUACUUUACCUGCUGCUUCUGCGAAAGGAAAAAGUUUAGUUGAUCAUUUUUCCAUCUUCAAAACAGGCGAGUAUAUGAAGCAUAUUAUUUUAAUAAAAUUUCUAUUGACGUAAACCAUUUACUUAUGUAAUUCACAAUUGCAUCUAUAUUAGGAUCCACAUCAGGUACAUUUAAUGACCGAUGUGGUGUUGGUUUAGAGAAUGUAGCAAAUAGAGGUUUGUAUCACUCUCAAGUUAGAAUAAUAUUCGUUAUCUUCCUUUGGAGUAAAAAUUGACUCCUAAUUAUUUUCGUAAUAUUCAGGAGUUAGACUACGUAGAAGAGCCCCUCUGCACAUUAUUGGUUUGCAAACUGAAUAUGUUUCUCUCAAAGUUGUCCCAAUCUGUAAAUUUUGUGCUGCAAAAAGAUUUCAAUAUGAACCUCCUAGAUUCUAUUGCAAUAAAGGUUCAAUCAAGCUUACUUCACAUGAAAUGCCUAUAGAGCUACGAGAAUUAGUUUUGGUUACUACUAAAGAGUUUGACCAUUUUCGAACAUAUGUUAGGACAUACAAUAACAUGUUUGUAUUUACUUCGCUCGGGGUAAAAUAUGACAAAGACUUAGCUAAGAGAAAUUAUGGUAUCUAUACAUUUAGAAUUCAAGAAAAAAUGUAUCACUUUAUAGAUGAUUUAUAUCCUGCGAACGAGAAAGGAAGAAAUUUACAGUUAUACUUCUACGACAAUGAAAAUGAGGUAGCAAACAGAAUUGCUUGUUAGAGUACAUGAGUCAAUGAUUAGAAAAUUGAUGAAUAUACUACAAAAUAAUCCAUAUAGUGUUUUCUUGAAAUCUUUGGCAGAUGUUCCGGAAUUAGCAAACUUUUAUAUUGCGCUCAAAUGUGACUCAGGUUUAGAUCAACGAGUAUAUAACUUACUUACUGCAUCUGAAGUUGCAGCAAUAAUGGUGGAAGAAGGGGUUCAUAUUUCCACACCUCAUAUUCGAAUUUAUACUCACAGCAAUAAAAGCCAAUUAGUGAACUAUUACUAUGGAUGUUAUGAUCCUUUGCAAUACCCACUAUUAUUUCCAUAUGGUCAAGAUGGGUGGCACUGUGGUAUAAAGAAAAUAGUACAACCAAAGAAUACUACUAGAUGCCGUGUCUACUAUGAACAUGAAAAUUUACCAAGUGUUGCAAACAUGUGUUCAAUUGAAAAUUUUCUUGAUAUGGAAGCUCAGGUACUAGAACAACAAAGAAAAAAAAGAAAUAUUGUCUCUUAUCGUGAAUAUUAUUGUUAUAAAAUACAAAUAAGAGAUGAUGAGACUGAUGAAAUCUUACAUACUGGAAGGGUAUUCCAACAAUAUAUCGUAGAUGUAUUCAUAAAACUUGAAACACAAUGACUAAACUUCUUCUCUUUCAAUCCAGAGUUUUUUAGAAUUGAAGUUUUGCAAGGUAUUCUUGAUGUCUUAAGACAAGGUGAAAGAGAUGCUUCUAGAAUCGGAAAACAAACUUUCCUUCCUGUUACAUUUACAGGGGGACCAAGAGAUAUGCGCCAGCGAUAUAUGGAUGCUAUUUCUUUGGUACAACGUUUUGGAAUACCUGACUUGUUUCUAACGAUGACAUGCAACCCAUUAUGGCUAGAAAUAAAAGAAUAUUUGUUAUCUACUGAUGAGGCACAAAAUAGACUUGACUUAAUUAGUCGAGUAUUUAGAGCAAAACUGGAAGAGCUAAAAAAUGCUAUAUUAAAAAGAAAUAUAUUUGGAAAGGUUGUUACUUUUAUGUACACUGUAGAAUUCCAGAAACGUGGUCUUCCACAUGCACAUUUCCUUAUUAUUCUUGCUAAUGAAUACAUAUUGUUGACACCUGAGUCUUACGGCAGAGUUGUUUGUGCUGAAUUACCUGAUCCUGAUAAAGAGCCUUACUUAUACUCACUUGUUGUACAUUAUAUGAUGCACAGUCUUUGUGGUCAUUUGAAUCCUGCAAAUUCAUGCAUGCAAAAUGGAUAUUGUAAAUUCAACUACCCUAAGAUUUUGCUGAUCGAACAUCAAAAGGAAAAAACUGUUAUCCAUGAAGCAAUAAAAAUUAGAGAACAAUUUCUCGAUAAUUCAUGGAUGGUACCAUAUAAUACUUUUUUACUUGGAAAGUUUAACUGUCAUAUGAAUAUCAAGAUAUGCUCAGAUAUUAAAAUUGUCAUGUAUCUUUACAAGUACAUAUGUAAAGGUCACGACAAAAUUUCUUUUUCUAUACAUGACAAUGAUAAAGACAAAGAGAUUGAUGAAAUAAAAGAAUAUCAGUUUGCUAGAUGGGUAUCUCCACCCAAAGAUAUACGGUAUUUAUUUGGUUUUUCUAUUAGUGAGAUGACACCAAGUGUUUAUCAUCUUCAAUUAUACCUUGAAGGACAACAAUAUGUUUCUUUUAAAAUCACUAAGAGUAUAAAUGCAAUUUUAAAAAAAUUUAUGAUUAGAAAAACAAUGUUGACAGAUUUGUUUGUCAUGAACCAAAUAGAUGAUUAUGCUAUAGAACUUAAGCAACUAAAUAAAGAGAUUCCAGAAUACUUUGUCUGGUUAGUUACAGAUAAGACAUGGACACGUCGAAAAUAACGUAUCGUUAUUAGAUGCAUUGUGACAUGUCAUCCAACAGAAGGUGAGAUAUAUUAUCUCAGACUAUUAUUACUGAAUAUGAGAGGACCAACAUCAUAUGAAGAUCUCCGUACUGUAAAUGGAAGAAGUUAUAUUACAUUUAGAGAGGUUGCUGAAAAAGAGGAUUAUUACAUUCUGACAACAGUUUGGUUGACUAUAUGAUUGAAGCUGCAAACUAUCUAAUGCCAUAUAGUUUAAGACGAUUAUUUGCUACGCUAUUGGUAUAUUGUACUCCUACUAAUCCAAAAGAGUUGUGGGAACAAUUUGAAGAUUCAAUGCCCGAAGACUUCAAAUGCUUGCCAAAUGAUGGAUUUAAAGAUAUUCAUCAUAGAGUCCUGAACUAGAUCAAUGACGAAUUACAAUCGAUGGGACACGACAUUAACAAGUCCAAACUUGUUGCAGAAAACAUUAGAGCUUUUGCAAUUGCAAAAGAGGCAAAAGAAGUUCAUUUUGAGAGAAGCCUAAGAGUUUCCGAACAAGAUUUAUUAUUAGAGAAAAAACUAAAUAUAGAUCAACGAAGAGCAUACAAUAUGAUUGUUGAUAGAAUAUUUUCCAACAAAUCAGGAGCUUUUUUUAUUGACAGGCCAGGAGGAACUGGUAAAAAUUUUUUAUAUCGAAGUUUGUUGGCUACGAUAAGAUCUAAGGGAUUUGUAGCACUAGCAAUUGCAACUUCUAGUGUUGCAGCUUCUAUUCUUCCUGGAGGGCGAAUAGCUCAUUCGCACUUUAAGAUACCUAUUGAUAUUGAUGAAAAUGUUGGUUGCAAUAUCAGUAAGCAAAGUUCACUUGCAUGUUUAAUUCGGGACGCAAAAUUAAUUGUAUGGGUGAGGCAUCAAUGGCUAAAGGGAAAACGAUUGAAGCUUUUGAUUUACUUUUGAAGGAUCUAAUGGAUACUAAGAUGCUCUUUGAUGGAAAAGUAGUUGUGUAUGGAGGUUAUUUUAGACAAACUCUUUCAGUUGUUCGAAAUGAAAAAAAAGAAGACUUCAUUUCUGAAAGUUUACUAUACUCUAAAAUUUGGAAUCAACUAGCAAAAACUACAGCUAUCAGAGAAUAUGCGUGCAAGAACAAAUCCUAGAUUUUGUGAAUAUUUGAUGAGAAUUGGAAACGAAAAAGAAAGACUUGAUGCCCAGCAAAAAGUUCUAAUUCCUGACUCUUUGAUAAUUCCUUUUACAACUGAAGAAGAAUCCUUGAAUGAGUUAUUUGAGGUAACAUAUCCCAAUAAAGAUUCCUUAUUUCACGAUUCUUCGUCCAUAGCUUCUUGUGUGAUCUUGACAACAAAAAAUGAUUUUGUUCAUGAAAUAAAUGAUAUGCUCAUAUCUAGUUUCCCAAAAGAUGCUAGAACAUAUGUUACAAUUGAUGAAACUGUUGAACCGAAUGACCAAAGUCAAUUCGAAAAUUAUUUGCAUACUUUAAAUCCUGUUGGUUUGCCUCCUUACAGAUUGACUUUAAAAGAAAAUUGUCCAGUAAUGUUACUACAAAAUUUAAGUCCCUGUGAAGGUUUACGUAACGACACACGGUUAAUAUGUUGUAGUUUUAAAAUACAUGUUAUAAGUGCCAAAAUUGCUAACGGUGAUUUUCAAAUUAUACAUGUUUUUAUUCCAAGAAUACCACUAUUAGAAUCACAAGAUGAAAAAAUUCCAAUUGCUUUUAAAAGAACACAAUUUCCAAUACGCUUGUGCUUUGCUAUGACUAUAAAUAAAGCUCAAGGUCAAACUUUGAAUUUUGUUGGAAUUUAUUUACGUGAACCAGUUUUUUCCCUUGAUUAACUUUAUGUUGCUUUAUCAACAGCUAAAAAUUCAAAAGGUGUGAAACUAUUAAUUCGACCGCAGACUUCAGACACCGAGG
rnacentral:lncRNA from 1 species